rnacentral:rRNA from 1 species
UACAGAGGGUGCGAGCGUUAAUCGGAAUUACUGGGCGUAAAGCGCGCGUAGGCGGCUUUGCAAGUCGAGUGUGAAAUCCCCAGGCUUAACCUGGGAACUGCAUUCGAGACUGCAUAGCUAGAGUAUGGGAGAGGGAAGUGGAAUUUCAGGUGUAGCGGUGAAAUGCGUAGAUAUCUGAAGGAACAUCAGUGGCGAAAGCGACUUCCUGGACCAAUACUGAUGCUCAUGUGCGAAAGCGUGGGGAGCAAACAGG